rnacentral:rRNA from 1 species
GGGUUGUGAGGUUAAGCGACUAAGCGUACACGGUGGAUGCCCUGGCAGUCAGAGGCGAUGAAGGGCGUGCUAAUCUGCGAUAAGCGCCGGUAAGGUGAUAUGAACCGUUAUAACCGGCGAUACCCGAAUGGGGAAACCCAGUGUGAUUCGUCACACUAUCAUUAACUGAAUCCAUAGGUUAAUGAGGCGAACCGGGGGAACUGAAACAUCUAAGUACCCCGAGGAAAAGAAAUCAACCGAGAUUCCCCCAGUAGCGGCGAGCGAACGGGGAGGAGCCCAGAGCCUGAAUCAGCAUGUGUGUUAGUGGAAGCGUCUGGAAAGGCGCGCGAUACAGGGUGACAGCCCCGUACACAAAAGCGCAUGUGCUGUGAGCUCGAUGAGUAGGGCGGGACACGUGGUAUCCUGUCUGAAUAUGGGGGACCAUCCUCCAAGGCUAAAUACUCCUGACUGACCGAUAGUGAACCAGUACCGUGAGGGAAAGGCGAAAAGAACCCCGGCGAGGGGAGUGAAAAAGAACCUGAAACCGUGUACGUACAAGCAGUGGGAGCACAGGUUUACCUGUGUGACUGCGUACCUUUUGUAUAAUGGGUCAGCGACUUAUAUUCUGUAGCAAGGUUAACCGUAUAGGGGAGCCGCAGGGAAACCGAGUCUUAAUUGGGCGUUAAGUUGCAGGGUAUAGACCCGAAACCCGGUGAUCUAGCCAUGGGCAGGUUGAAGGUUGGGUAACACUAACUGGAGGACCGAACCGACUAAUGUUGAAAAAUUAGCGGAUGACCUGUGGCUGGGGGUGAAAGGCCAAUCAAACCGGGAGAUAGCUGGUUCUCCCCGAAAGCUAUUUAGGUAGCGCCUCGUGAAUUCAUCUCCGGGGGUAGAGCACUGUUUCGGCUAGGGGGCCAUCCCGGCUUACCAACCCGAUGCAAACUGCGAAUACCGGAGAAUGUUAUCACGGGAGACACACGGCGGGUGCUAACGUCCGUCGUGAAGAGGAAACAACCCAGACCGCCAGCUAAGGUCCCAAAGUCAUGGUUAAGUGGGAAACGAUGUGGGAAGGCCCAGACAGCCGGAUGUUGGCUUAGAAGCAGCCAUCAUUUAAAGAAAGCGUAAUAGCUCACUGGUCGAGUCGGCCUGCGCGGAAGAUGUAACGGGGCUAAACCAUGCACCGAAGCUGCGGCAGCGACACUGUGUGUUGUUGGGUAGGGGAGCGUUCUGUAAGCCUGCGAAGGUGGCCUGUGAGGGUUGCUGGAGGUAUCAGAAGUGCGAAUGCUGACAUAAGUAACGAUAAAGCGGGUGAAAAGCCCGCUCGCCGGAAGACCAAGGGUUCCUGUCCAACGUUAAUCGGGGCAGGGUGAGUCGACCCCUAAGGCGAGGCCGAAAGGCGUAGUCGAUGGGAAACGGGUUAAUAUUCCCGUACUUGGUGUUACUGCGAAGGGGGACGGAGAAGGCUAUGUUGGCCGGGCGACGGUUGUCCCGGUUUAAGCGUGUAGGUGUGUGUUCGGUAAAUCCGGUUCACUUUAACACUGAGGCGUGACGACGAGGCACUACGGUGCUGAAGCAACAAAUGCCCUGCUUCCAGGAAAAGCCUCUAAGCAUCAGGUAACAUCAAAUCGUACCCCAAACCGACACAGGUGGUCAGGUAGAGAAUACCAAGGCGCUUGAGAGAACUCGGGUGAAGGAACUAGGCAAAAUGGUGCCGUAACUUCGGGAGAAGGCACGCUGACACGUAGGUGAAGUGAUUUACUCAUGGAGCUGAAGUCAGUCGAAGAUACCAGCUGGCUGCAACUGUUUAUUAAAAACACAGCACUGUGCAAACACGAAAGUGGACGUAUACGGUGUGACGCCUGCCCGGUGCCGGAAGGUUAAUUGAUGGGGUCAGCGCAAGCGAAGCUCCUGAUCGAAGCCCCGGUAAACGGCGGCCGUAACUAUAACGGUCCUAAGGUAGCGAAAUUCCUUGUCGGGUAAGUUCCGACCUGCACGAAUGGCGUAAUGAUGGCGGCUGUCUCCACCCGAGACUCAGUGAAAUUGAACUCGCUGUGAAGAUGCAGUGUACCCGCGGCAAGACGGAAAGACCCCGUGAACCUUUACUAUAGCUUGACACUGAACAUUGAGCCUUGAUGUGUAGGAUAGGUGGGAGGCUUUGAAGUGUGGACGCCAGUCUGCAUGGAGCCGACCUUGAAAUACCACCCUUUAAUGUUUGAUGUUCUAACGUGGACCCGUAAUCCGGGUUGCGGACAGUGUCUGGUGGGUAGUUUGACUGGGGCGGUCUCCUCCUAAAGAGUAACGGAGGAGCACGAAGGUUGGCUAAUCCGGUCGGACAUCAGGAGGUUAGUGCAAUGGCAUAAGCCAGCUUGACUGCGAGCGUGACGGCGCGAGCAGGUGCGAAAGCAGGUCAUAGUGAUCCGGUGGUUCUGAAUGGAAGGGCCAUCGCUCAACGGAUAAAAGGUACUCCGGGGAUAACAGGCUGAUACCGCCCAAGAGUUCAUAUCGACGGCGGUGUUUGGCACCUCGAUGUCGGCUCAUCACAUCCUGGGGCUGAAGUAGGUCCCAAGGGUAUGGCUGUUCGCCAUUUAAAGUGGUACGCGAGCUGGGUUUAGAACGUCGUGAGACAGUUCGGUCCCUAUCUGCCGUGGGCGCUGGAGAACUGAGGGGGCUGCUCCUAGUACGAGAGGACCGGAGUGGACGCAUCACUGGUGUUCGGGUUGUCAUGCCAAUGGCACUGCCCGGUAGCUAAAUGCGGAAGAGAUAAGUGCUGAAAGCAUCUAAGCACGAAACUUGCCCCGAGAUGAGUUCUCCCUGAGACUUAGAGUCUCCUGAAGGAACGUUGAAGACGACGACGUUGAUAGGCCGGGUGUGUAAGCGCAGCGAUGCGUUGAGCUAACCGGUACUAAUGAACCGUGAGGCUUAACCUUACAACGCCGAAG